rnacentral:rRNA from 1 species
CCUACGGCUGGCAGCAGUGGGGAAUAUUGGACAAUGGGCGAAAGCCUGAUCCAGCCAUGCCGCGUGUGUGAAGAAGGCCUUCGGGUUGUAAAGCACUUUCAGUGGGGAAGAAAGCCUUGGGGCUAAUACCCUCGAGGAAGGACAUCACCCACAGAAGAAGCACCGGCUAACUCCGUGCCAGCAGCCGCGGUAAUACGGAGGGUGCGAGCGUUAAUCGGAAUUACUGGGCGUAAAGCGCGCGUAGGCGGUCUGAUAAGCCGGUUGUGAAAGCCCCGGGCUCAACCUGGGAACGGCAUCCGGAACUGUCAGGCUAGAGUGCAGGAGAGGAAGGUAGAAUUCCCGGUGUAGCGGUGAAAUGCGUAGAGAUCGGGAGGAAUACCAGUGGCGAAGGCGGCCUUCUGGACUGACACUGACGCUGAGGUGCGAAGGCGUGGGUAGCAAACAGGAUUAGAUACCCGAGUAGUC